rnacentral:lncRNA from 1 species
CUCCAUUCUGUAGGCCUCCAGUCUGUAGGCCUUCACUAUGUUGUCCUGUCUCCAGUCUGUAGGCAUCCACUAUGUUGUAAUGUCUCUAUUCUGUAGUCCUCCACUAUGUUGUCAUGUCUCCAGUCUGUAGGCCUCCACUAUGAUGUAAUGUCUCCAGUCUGUAGGUCUCCACUAUGAUAUCAUGUCUCCAGUCUGUAGACCUCCACUAUAUUGUCAUUUCUCCAGUCUGUAGGUCUCCACUAUGAUGUCAUUUCUCCAGUCUGAAGGCCUCCACUAUAUUGUCAUUUCUCCAGUCUGUAGGCCUCCACUAUGAUAUCAUGUCUCCAGUCUGUAGUCCUCCAUUAUGUUGUCAUGUCUCCCAUCUGUAGUCUUCACUAUUUUGUCAUGUCUCCAGUCUGUAGGCCUCCACUAUGUUGUCCUGUCUCCAGUCCGUAGGCCUCCACUAUGAUGUAAUGUCUCCAGUCUGUA